rnacentral:rRNA from 1 species
CGCCACCUCUCGAUCUGGAUAACCAUCCAUGACAGGUGGUCCCUUAUUUACAUGUGGGACCCGCAUUCUGGCGGACAGGUCGUACUUCCGUGCUCGCGGUGACGCCGCGUCGCCGCCGGCGAUCAGAUCCAGUGCUUCUCGUAGGUAGCGGCGUCGGCGGUGGUCAUGUGGUCGACCGCGGCGUGGUGGUGGGCCCACCACCACAUACGCCUCCUUCUCCCGGCCCUCUUCCUCGCCGCCGCCCUCUUCUUCUUCCUCGCCUCCCCGCGCUCCUCCCCAUCCUUCUUCGCCCUACCGGCCUCCAGGGAGCAUUCGCCGUCGGGGUCGCGGCUCAUAUGGGCGCAGCGGCGUUUGGCGGAGUGGCGGCCGUGCGAGUGGUGGCAGACGGCAAUGCCCGCAGCUCCGUCGACGAGGAAUGGCUACAUCAGGAUAGAUUGCUACGGCGGCCUCAACCAGCUGCGGCGCGAUCUGUGCGAUGGAAUUGCGGUUGCACGUCUUCUGAACGCGACAAUGGUUCUGCCCAAGUUUGAGGUUGCUGCAUACUGGAAUGAGUCUAGUGGUUUUGCAGACGUGUUUGAUGUUGAUCACUUCAUUGAGCAAACUAGAGGUUAUGUGGAAGUGGUGAAGGAUAUGCCCGAGGAGAUAUCGUUGAAAGAGCCAUUUAAGGUCGAUUGCCGAAAACGGAAAGGACAUUUUGAUUAUGUAGAAACAGUUCUUCCAGCUCUUUUAGAACAUCGAUACAUUUCUCUGACACCUGCCAUGAGCCAAAGAAAAGAUAGAUAUCCAGCACAUGCGAAAGCUUGUUACUGCCAAGGUUGCUACAAUGCACUCCAGUUGAACAAGAAGGUGGAAGCCAAAGCUAUGGAGCUUCUCCAAGCGAUACCAAAACCUUUCUUAUCACUUCACCUUAGAUUUGAACCAGAUAUGGUUGCCUACAGUCGAUGUGAAUACAGUGCCCUUUCUUCCAAAUCACUGGAUGUGAUUGAAGCUGCACGUGGGGAGGACAGGAAUGUAUUGAUUGGUGAUGCUGCUCGUCUGUGGAGGAACCGUGGAAAGUGCCCUCUAACACCAAGUGAGACAGCAUUUAUCCUCCAAGCACUAGGUAUUCCUACGGAGACAAACAUUUAUUUAGCUGCUGGGGAUGGGUUAAUGGAACUCGAGGGCUUCACUUCGAUCUACAAAAAUAUGUAUACUAAAUCGUCUCUCCUGACUCAUGAAGAUUUUGAGAGGAUGCAUGGCAACACAAAAGCUGCUCUCGACUACUAUGUUUCAGUCAACAGCGAUGCUUAUGUUACCACAUUCUUUGGAAAUAUGGAUAAGAUGGUAACUGCAAUGAGAACAAUGCAAGGGCUGCAGAAGACAUUGGUCUUGAGUAGGAGGGCCUUCGCAAACUACACGGCUGCUGGACUGGCAGGGGACCAACUAGCUAAGGCCAUGUGGGAUGCUCACCGAGAGGAUUAUAUCAUGGGGAGGGGAUUAGCUCUCCCUGAACAUUGCUUUUGUGAGUUCAAGUUGUAGUACAAAUGAGCCCAUAUAACACAAGGGCUAGUCUACACGGCCACCUUCCAAUUGGUAGCACUAAUAGAUCGCAUUGUGGCUGAGUUGCUACUGCAGUGGGCGUUAUGCCCAAUCUUCAGAAGAAACUGUUCUUCAUCAGAGUCGCGAGCUGCACAGCGUCUUGAUUCAGGGAGCAAUUAUCACUCAUACAGCAAUGCAUCAUGGCCUCUCCUCCUGUAUACUGUUUCCGGUGAGUUCAGAUAGUAGCUCAGACAUGUACACGCAGGCUUACUACCUAGAGAAUCAUUCUGAUGUUUCCUUUUACAACUGGAUAUAUUGCCAGGCCCCAACUGUCAGGUGGCGUAAUGGCUUGUGAUUAAUCUCACCCACCACUGGGAAAUACACCAUAGUUACAUAGUUUGUUGUUGAAUUGGGCUCCAUAACCGG